rnacentral:rRNA from 1 species
GACGAACGCUGGCGGCGUGCCUAACACAUGCAAGUCGAACGGGGCACCUUCGGGUGCUUAGUGGCGAACGGGUGAGUAACGCGUGAGAAACCUGCCUUUCAGCGGGGGACAACAGUUGGAAACGACUGCUAAUACCGCAUAAUGUUAUUUGAGGGCAUCCUCGAAUAACCAAAGCUUUAUGUGCUGAAAGAUGGUCUCGCGUCGGAUUAGCUAGAUGGCGGGGUAACGGCCCACCAUGGCGACGAUCAGUAGCCGGUCUGAGAGGAUGAACGGCCACAUUGGGACUGAGAUACGGCCCAGACUCCUACGGGAGGCAGCAGUGGGGAAUAUUGGGCAAUGGGGGAAACCCUGACCCAGCAACGCCGCGUGAAGGAAGAAGGCCUUCGGGUUGUAAACUUCUUUUACCAGGGACGAAGAACGUGACGGUACCUGGAGAAAAAGCAACGGCUAACUACGUGCCAGCCGCCGCAGUAAUAC